UACGUAGGGGGCAAGCGUUGUCCGGAUUCAUUGGGCGUAAAGAGCGUGUAGGCGGCCAGGUAGGUCGGUUGUGAAAACUGGAGGCUCAACCCCGAGCCUGCUUCCGAUACGGGCGGACUAGAGGUAGGUAGGGGAGAACGGAAUUCCUGGUGUAGCGGUGGAAUGCGCAGAUAUCAGGAGGAACACCGGUGGCGAAGGCGGUUCUCUGGGCCUUACCUGACGCUGAGGAGCGAAAGCGUGGGGAGCGAACAGG
rnacentral:rRNA from 1 species